GUUCGGGCUGUGCACGACCGGGCUCCGUGGCAAACCCGGCCACCAGGCGCUCCCCAUCGAGCCCUCCGUCUGGGCCUGGCUCCAGACGGGGGCCCCGGGCUUCCUCCGGGCCGGGUCACAUCUCCUCUUUUUACGUUAUUCAUUGGAGUUCAUCUUCAACAUGUCAUGGUCUAUUAUGACAAGAAGUUGAACACCUGGCACUGCCAGUGCAACAAAACACGACGGUCAUGUCCACACAAAUACAUCGCACAGUGGCACUUUUUCCAGGAGUUUCCUCAUACUUUUAAAAAAGUCAGGUCCAGUGAAUACAUCCCAGGGGACCAACGCAUGGAAAGUGUCACUCUGGCAAACAGAAUGGGGCGGAGGAUGUCACAACCAACCAGAGAGAGAAGACCUCAACCUGAGAAAACAGAUUAGCGACUACCCCUGAGAGUUUCUGCACCAUCUGCCCUGGGACUGUUCCUCUCAGUAAUCCAAGUCUGACAACGGCAAGGGCCAAAAUACUCACCAGUGAUGGUGUUGUGAAUGGUACAGCUUCAAUUAUUUACACUUUUGUGGCAUACAAGGAAGUAAUACAUGUUGUCAACUAAUCUUCGCUAAUGCCCUCUAUUUCAUUCCCCAGAUGUUUCUACAUUUUGCAAGAAAUGUGAGGACUGUGGCAUGCUCUACCGUUACCAGGAGUUCAAGGAUGGGGUUCCUAACUUCAAUGAUCAUCAUCUCCUUGGACUGCAUUUCUGUCUGUUAUUGAGGUCCCAGCUCCAGACUAAUCAAGCUGUUGGAAGCGCUGUCCAGUCCCUGGAGCAACUGACCGAGACAAAGUUCCCUCCAGUUGACAGCAUCAUGCAUGGUUACCUUCAUUUUGACCAGUCACAGCUACAGUUUUAGCUGUUGUCAUGAUCCGCUCCUGGUUUUCCCAUUUACCCUCCUGCCACCCUGAUCUCCCCUAAUUAACCAGACCACCUCCACCUGUGAUCCCUCUAUAUAAAUCCUCUCUCUCCACUCAGUCUCUGCCAGAUCGUCUCUCGUACUCACAGAGCUUUCCCGCAACUCCAGAACUAUUCUUCAACGCUGAUCCUGCCUGCUUCAGACCUCUCGCCUGUCUGACCACCCGCCUGUCGUCGAGUCCCUGCCGGCCUGUCUGCUUCCCUGUUUCCUGCUCCUCGUCUGCCUGGCUGCCCUCCUGUUGCUGACCCCUCGCCUGUCUGACCACCCGCCUGUUGUCAAGUCCCUGCCGGCCUGUCUGCUUCCCAGUCUCCUGCCCCUUGCCUACCUGUCUGCCCUCCCGUUGCCGACCCCUUGCCUGCUCACUCCUCGUCUUGUUCCGGUAAUCUUGGAAUCCGUUUCUGGACAAUAAAACCGUUGAACACCGGUCUCGGUCUGUGCUGUUCUUGGGUCCAACCUCACGUCCCAUUACAGCUGUUUGUUGCGGUGACCACCCACCCACUGUGGUAAAGGACCUUCAUAAGAAUGGCGUUUUCCAGCUGACGGGUACAUUCUUUUUGCACUAAAUACAAAUAUAUUUCUAUGUCGACAUUGUCAGUCUCUCAUUUAUGCACUUGUGAUCAUGUU
ensembl:lncRNA